rnacentral:rRNA from 1 species
AUUGAACGCUGGCGGCAUGCCUAACACAUGCAAGUCGAACGGGGCAGCAAUGCCUAGUGGCGGACGGGUGAGGAAUACGUAGGAAUCUGCCCUUAAGUGGGGGAUAACCAGGGGAAACCCUGACUAAUACCGCACGAUCUCUUCGGAGCAAAGAGGGGGACCGCAAGGCCUCUCGCCUCUGGAUGAGCCUACGUCUGAUUAGCUAGUUGGUAGGGUAAAGGCCUACCAAGGCGACGAUCAGUAACUGGUCUGAGAGGAUGAUCAGUCACACCGGAACUGAGACACGGUCCGGACUCCUACGGGAGGCAGCAGUGGGGAAUAUUGGACAAUGGGCGCAAGCCUGAUCCAGCAAUGCCGCGUGUGUGAAGAAGGCCUUCGGGUUGUAAAGCACUUUAGCCUGGAAAGAAGUGUAUGUGGGGAAUAUCCAUGUGCAUUGACGGUACCGACAGAAUAAGCACCGGCAAACUCUGUGCCAGCCGCCGCAGUAACAC